rnacentral:rRNA from 1 species
UACGGAGGAUGCAAGCGUUAUCCGGAAUGAUUGGGCGUAAAGCGUCCGCAGGUUGCUAUGUAAGUCUGCUGUUAAAGAGUGAGGCUCAACCUCAUAAGAGCAGUGGAAACUACAUGGCUAGAGUGCGUUCGGGGCAGAGGGAAUUCCUGGUGUAGCGGUGAAAUGCGUAGAUAUCAGGAAGAACACCGGUGGCGAAAGCGAUCUGCUAGGCCGCAACUGACACUGAGGGACGAAAGCUAGGGGAGCGAAUGGG